CAAAUAGAGUAAAAAGAAUAUAAUUAGAAAGAUAGUUAUCAAUAUCGCAGUAAAUAAAUGACAAAAUUUUCAAAAAAGAGAAGCUCAAUUAAUAAAACUACAUAGGAAAAUAAUCUCAACAGUAAUUCAAUAAUGGCCAAAAUUAAGUUUCCAUUUUGCUUAUUAAUUUUCCAAAUCUACAAAAAUAUACUUAUACACAUAAAUUGCUAAUAUCCACGCAAAUGUGUAUUAUUUUUCACAAUUUAAAGUAACUAGAUUUUUAAGUCUGAAUGCAAAAACUACAAAAAAUAUCCCGAAGGGAGGAGAAAGCCCAUGAUAUUAGUUAAACUAGUGUGAUAGAAAUAAUGUAAAUAUCUGGCAAUAGGGAAAAUGUUAAUUCAACUGUUCUAUGUGCAGUGAAGCUAAUAUUGUUAAUAUAAUUCUUAAUAAUGAUAACCAUAAAGUUUACACAGUAAAAUAAAAUAUUCUUAUAAAAUAUAAAGUGACAAAUAUCUGGAUUUAUGAAGAAUGACUGAAACUUUUUAAAGAAAUAUGUGCAUAUGUGAAAUUUAUCAUCUGCAUCUCUGUAAAGUUUUUUCAUUUAUUUAGUGUAUAAAUAUUUAGUGAAUAGUACACUAUGCAUUGCAGUUACAUUUUAUUUUAUUUUACUAUUUAUUUUUAAUCUUUUUAGGGUCACACUCACGGCAUAUGAAGUUUCCCAGGGUAGGUGUAGAAUCGGAGCUGUAGCCAACGGCCUACACCACAGCUCACAGCAGUGCUGGAUCCUUAACCCACUGAGAUUAGAUUGCAUGAAUUAAGUUUUAGGAAACAUCAAUUUUACAUUAUUGUAAGUGUGACGUUCCUAUGCUCUAGGGAGAAGUUCUUUGGAUUCCUGGUUUACUUUUGGGUUUCAAUCGGAAAGUUCCACUUAAAAGCUGUAUAAGUAUCUGCAAAACUGUUUUCCCAUGAGUUAAAUUGAAAUCUAUCUUUGAAGGCUGUGCGAAGGGUAAAUCAGACAGCAUUAUUUAACUGUUAAAUCUACUACAAAUGUAGGGAACCUUAACUCCUGUCUUACUGAUGGCAUGGUUCUGCAGUACAGCUCUAUAGGGAAGCUCUUAGCAAUUAUUUAUUAUUAUUUAUUGGUUGUGAUAUUUACUUAUGUUUCAUUUGAAUACUUUUAAGUGAAAUGUUCUCUAAAGCAAGGCUAUCUUGAAAAUUCCAUCAUUCCAGAAAAACUAGAUAAGAUAACCCAUUAUUAUUGAAACCUAAGGUUUAUGUUUCAGUUUCAUGCUCCCAGACUGUCACAAAAGAAUAUCUGACCUCUAGACAUGAAAAGACUUUUGAAGAAACUAGUCAAAAGCUAUCAGCACGAAGAAUUAUUUUUCCAUCUACACUAAGAAUGACUGAAUCUGUUUAACUGAGUGCCAAAAACACUGUGGAUACUCAUUAAGUAUGUAUUAUAUAAUGUAUACCAUAAAAAUAUUCUACUUACAAGUAAUUUUCCAGAAAGCCUUAUGAUGCUUGUUAAGUUUAAAAACAAGUUUAUAAUUUGAUUUUGUGUAAUUUGAUUUUGUAAUAAUACUGCUUUUUUUUUUACUUCUUAGACUGGCACAAUUAUCUUUUUGAUUUGUACAGUAUUCCUGUGUGGCUCUGCAUGAUUUCAUAAUUGAACUUCGAGUAAAGUGGCUCUCACCAAAACUGCACUCAGUGGGGAGUGUCUAUGUCCAGCUGUUUAGGCAUGCUUUCUUGCUUCUCUUAACUUAUCAAGUUAACUGCCAUUUUAAUCUAAAUCAAAUUUUCACAAAAUAAUUGAAAACCUCCCUUUAACCCCAAGAGCCUAAUGGACUUUCUUGUAUUUGUGAAGAGAAAAAUGUUUAUAUACAAAUAAAACAAAGAAGAGGAAACUGACCUAUGUGCUGUUUUAUAAAUUAAAACAUACUAUUUUAAGAUUUCUGACAAAACAUAAAACAUAUAGCUAAUCUAUUCUGGAUCAACAUUACAAUCUUUGAAAGAAUAGCAAGACAAUGUGGGAAGAUGAUAACAGUUUCUUUGUCUGUUUGUUUGUUUUUUGCUUUGUAGGGCCGCACCCACAGCAUAUGGAAGUUCCCCAGGAUAGAGGUUAAUCGGAGCUACAGUUGCUGGCCACAACCACAGCACAGCUGCGCAGGAUCUGAGCCACAUAUGCAACCUACACCACAGCUCAUGGCAAUGUUGGAUUCCCAAACAGCUGGGUAAGGCCAGGGAUCAAACCGGCAUCCUCAUGAACACUAGUCGGAUUUGUUUCCACUGCGCCACCAACGGACCUCCCAUGAAACAGUUUUUAUGAAAACAAAUCUAAACUUUCAAGUGGUCAUUCACUAAACAAUGAUGUGCUCUGAGAGGGGCAUCAUGUUGAGGGUAAAGCAAAAAAGGAGAAGGCAUAAUCUGAUUUUAUAUAGUUCACAGUCAUUGUUCUUACAGAACAAUGAUAAUGUAUAAGUGCUAUAAUGAAUAUGACAUAAAUCACAGCAAUAAAAAUACAGAUGAGUCUUUCUACCUUCUAAGGAGUAUCAUUUAUAAGCAAAGCCUGAUUACAUGGCUACUGUUUUUCUACGAGUCAUGGCUGGAGCUGCAAAACUGGUAAGCCCAAAGAGGCAUUUAUUUGCUUUGAGCAUAAGGUACAAGAAUUUGGGAAAAAUAUUUAAAAAUUUAUGAGAAGAUUGGAGAACUGGUGGCUAUGAUGCAAGGGAAACAUUAGAAAGGAAUAGCCAAACUGCGAUGAAGUAGAAAUUAGAGAAAAAUUAAGGGAUGAGGAAGCUGUCCUAAAAGGUAUAUCAUCAAACAGGAAAUCUACUUUAGGAAGUAUUGCUUGGUUCUAUGUGGUGCAGUUCCUCCUCUGUGAUAUCAAAUAUGCAUCCAUAAAAAUGAAGAUGUUCUUCAAUACUUUUUUUAGAAGUAUUUGUGUGUUUCUUCAGAUGCAUUUACAUUUGGGAUUGAACUUAAAGUUAGCCGAGUAGUUUAAGAUGGUCUACAAUAUUUGAUUGCUAGUUAUGCUUAAAAUGUUAUGGGAAAAUAGAAGAAAGAGCUUCUUUAUUCUGAAAAUAGGUGAGUGAUAUUAUGGAAAAUAGUCUUUGAAUAAAAGCACAAAGAUGUCAACAAAAGAGAAUACAUGCAAAGGAAGGCUGAUAAAUUUCCAGUUUAAAUGUAAUGGAUGAAAUUGGGGAAAUCAGACAGGGUGAGACUAUGGAUGGUAUGCAGUAGGAUAUGAAUAACAUCAUCUAAAUUUUAUUAACUACAAAAGCAGGAGCCAUCGUCUUCUAAUAAGAAUGUCUAGAUUUAACUGCCAGAAUAAGGAAAUUCAUGAAAAGAUAGAAAAGCAAGUUAAGGCACAUGAAAGUGUAAUCACCCAAAGCCAGGAUAUGGACAUUUUAUAAAGCUAUAAAGGCCAGGUUUCUCCAAACAAAGAAGAAGGGAGAAUUGUCAGAGAAAGAAAG
rnacentral:lncRNA from 1 species